rnacentral:lncRNA from 13 species
CAUAUUAGCCUACAUUUUAAUAAUCAUUUGAACUUGAUAUAUAAAAGCAGCUCGUCGUUGAGGAAAUCAGUGUCACUUUUCAUUUGUAAUUUGAAUGCUAUCAUAGUGAUAUUAUACAGAUAGUGAUAUUAAAACCAGAUUAUCUACAUAAAUAAUUAAAAUCAUGGAUGACAAAAAAGUAUGGAAUGGUACUGAUUCCGGCGAGGAGGUCGUUAUUUCUGGUAUUGCUGGUAGAUUUCCAAAUUCAGAUAAUAUGCAUCAGUUACGAGAAAA